rnacentral:rRNA from 1 species
GUCGAACGCUGAAGCCCAGCUUGCUGGGUGGAUGAGUGGCGAACGGGUGAGUAACACGUGAGUAACCUGCCCCCUUCUUUGGGAUAACGCCCGGAAACGGGUGCUAAUACUGGAUAUUCACUGGCCUUCGCAUGGGGGUUGGUGGAAAGGUUUUUUCUGGUGGGGGAUGGGCUCGCGGCCUAUCAGCUUGUUGGUGGGGUGAUGGCCUACCAAGGCUUUGACGGGUAGCCGGCCUGAGAGGGUGACCGGUCACAUUGGGACUGAGAUACGGCCCAGACUCCUACGGGAGGCAGCAGUGGGGAAUAUUGCACAAUGGGCGAAAGCCUGAUGCAGCGACGCCGCGUGAGGGAUGACGGCCUUCGGGUUGUAAACCUCUUUCGCUCAUGGUCAAGCCGCAGCUUUGGGUUGUGGUGAGGGUAGUGGGUAAAGAAGCGCCGGCUAACUACGUGCCAGCAGCCGCGGUAAUACGUAGGGCGCGAGCGUUGUCCGGAAUUAUUGGGCGUAAAGGGCUUGUAGGCGGUUGGUCGCGUCUGCCGUGAAAUCCUCUGGCUUAACUGGGGGCGUGCGGUGGGUACGGGCUGACUUGAGUGCGGUAGGGGAGACUGGAACUCCUGGUGUAGCGGUGGAAUGCGCAGAUAUCAGGAAGAACACCGGUGGCGAAGGCGGGUCUCUGGGCCGUUACUGACGCUGAGGAGCGAAAGCGUGGGGAGCGAACAGGAUUAGAUACCCUGGUAGUCCACGCUGUAA